rnacentral:pre_miRNA from 1 species
GGCCUCCCUCUGUGGGGUGAUUGAUUGCGGGGCCCCCAAAUCAAUCGCCCAGCAGAGGGAGGUC